rnacentral:rRNA from 1 species
UGCGUAGGCGGUUAUAUUAGUCGGGUGUUAAAUCCUGGGGCUCAACCUCAGAAUCGCAUUCGAAACGGUAUAACUAGAAGAAGUCAGAGGUAAGCAGAACUCUCGGUGUAGGGGUGAAAUCCGUUGAUAUCGAGGGGAAUACCAAAUGCGAAGGCAGCUUACUGGGACUUUCUUGACGCUGAGGCACGAAAGCGUGGGUAGCGAACG